rnacentral:rRNA from 1 species
UUAGGACGAACGCUGGCGGCGUGCUUAACACAUGCAAGUCGAGCGAUGAAGUUCCUUCGGGAAAUGGAUUAGCGGCGGACGGGUGAGUAACACGUGGGUAACCUGCCUCAUAGAGGGGAAUAGCCUUUCGAAAGGAAGAUUAAUGCCGCAUAAGAUUGUAAUGUCGCAUGACAUAGCAAUUAAAGGAGUAAUCCGCUAUGAGAUGGACCCGCGUCGCAUUAGCUAGUUGGUGAGGUAACGGCUCACCAAGGCGACGAUGCGUAGCCGACCUGAGAGGGUGAUCGGCCACAUUGGGACUGAGACACGGCCCAGACUCCUACGGGAGGCAGCAGUGGGGAAUAUUGCACAAUGGGGGAAACCCUGAUGCAGCAACGCCGCGUGAGUGAUGAAGGUCUUCGGAUUGUAAAGCUCUGUCUUUAGGGACGAUAAUGACGGUACCUAAGGAGGAAGCCACGGCUAACUACGUGCCAGCCGCAGC